ensembl:lncRNA
GCCUCCCUCGCCGCUCCGAGCCAAUGAGAGCGCGCACCGCGCGGUAGGCUGAGAUGGCGCUAUAGAACGUUUGUCCAAUGGUAGGCGGCGUAUUCCGCGCGGCGCCAGUCGCAGAGGCGCUAGGGCGAUGUUGCGUGAUUUAUUAUUAUUUUGUCAACAUGUAUGUCUGCACUACGAAAGAGGACACUGGAUCCCAUGAAGCUGCAGUAAUAGACAGUGGUGUCCCUCCCUGAUGAUUGCAUGCCAAGAUGAUCUGGUCUUCCCAUCCGUUGUUGUUUUCAGGUGCACUAUGUCUUUGGACCAUCUCCAUGAGUAAGGAAUGAGGACGCUGGGAAUAUAGUGAAGACCAAGAGACUUCCCGACCAGGAAACACCCAGGCAGAGGACCCAUAUUGUGUAAAGCAGAGCACCUGCAUCCUGUACCUUCUGUACCUGUGCUUACUGAUUCACGGACAGCAUGUGGCUUCAUUCUGAGUUCAGGUACAGAGACAGGAUGACUCUUCUUGUUAUGCGCGUAGACAUCACCACCUUUCUAGCACCAUCUAUGAGGCAGAGGACUCCCAGCUAUCCCAGUGCUUCAGCCAGCUCCAUCCCUAUUGCUGACUCUGCCUACCUGAACCACAGCCUAUCCCUUGAGCAAGUUCUACACCUUGUCUCUGCAGUCAGCUCAGCUCAGAGGCCUGAAUUCAACCCAGGGACCCUGUGGUUUGGCAGAUUCUCCAAGAGGCCAACACCACUCCUUACCUUCUUCCCACACCUCACCAGCGACUCUCUUUGUACCUUUAUCAGCCUAUACCUCUGUCUGUUUUAAAAAGAUGUAUUUUCGAAAGUCUAUACAUGGACUGACCCAGGGCUCCAACUGCAUACAUAGCAGAGAAUAGCCUUGUUGGGGCACCAGUGAAAGGGGAAGACCUUGGUCCUGCCAAGGUUCAACACCCAGUGCAGGGGAAUAUGUGG